rnacentral:tRNA from 1 species
CGUCAAGGGAUGGGAAUCGAACCCACGACCUUCCGCUUACCGGGCAGAUGCCAUGACCACUAGGCUACCCUGGAC